rnacentral:rRNA from 1 species
CUGAACCAGCCAAGUAGCGUGAAGGAUGACUGCCCUAUGGGUGGUAAACUUCUUUUAUAAAGGAAUAAAGUCGGGUAUGCAUACCCGUUUGCAUGUACUUUAUGAAUAAGGAUCGGCUAACUCCGUGCCAGCAGCCGCGGUAAUACGGAGGAUCCGAGCGUUAUCCGGAUUUAUUGGGUUUAAAGGGAGCGUAGAUGGAUGUUUAAGUCAGUUGUGAAAGUUUGCGG